rnacentral:rRNA from 1 species
AUUGAACGCUGGCGGCAUGCUUUACACAUGCAAGUCGAACGGUAACAGGCCUUCGGGUGCUGACGAGUGGCGAACGGGUGAGUAAUGCAUCGGAACGUGCCCAGAGGUGGGGGAUAACGCAGCGAAAGCUGUGCUAAUACCGCAUGUGAUCUGAGGAUGAAAGCGGGGGACCAAGCAGCAAUGUUUGGCCUCGCGCCUCUGGAGCGGCCGAUGUCAGAUUAGGUAGUUGGUGGGGUAAAGGCCUACCAAGCCGACGAUCUGUAGCUGGUCUGAGAGGACGACCAGCCACACUGGGACUGAGACACGGCCCAGACUCCUACGGGAGGCAGCAGUGGGGAAUUUUGGACAAUGGGCGCAAGCCUGAUCCAGCAAUGCCGCGUGCGGGAAGAAGGCCUUCGGGUUGUAAACCGCUUUUGUACGGAACGAAAAGGCUCUGGCUAAUACCUGGGGCUGAUGACGGUACUGUAAGAAUAAGCACCGGCUAACUACGUG